rnacentral:rRNA from 1 species
CGGCGAACGGGUGAGUAACACGUGGGUGACCUGCCUUCAGCUCUGGGAUAAGCCUGGGAAACUGGGUCUAAUACCGGAUAUGACCACGUACUGCAUGGUGUGUGGUGGAAAGUUUUUUCGGCUGGGGAUGGGCCCGCGGCCUAUCAGCUUGUUGGUGGGGUGAUGGCCUACCAAGGCGACGACGGGUAGCCGGCCUGAGAGGGCGACCGGCCACACUGGGACUGAGACACGGCCCAG